ACCACGUAAUCUCUUCCUCUCUCUUUUCUCUCUCCCCGGAGAAGAUGCGCUAGGCGGAGAGGCCGGAGAGCCAUCGGAAGGAGGGGGGCCGCUGCCGCUGCGGACCGCGGGGAGGAGAUGUCGGUCGGCAGCGCGUGCACUCCACCGACGAUUACGCAGCAUCGGCCCGCCGCAGACGAGCGCGAGAAGGAGGCAUCCGUCAGCUGGACUCCACCGACGAGCACAAGGCGCGGAGCCUGCCGAUGACAAGCACGAGGAGGAGGUCCCCGUCGGAAGGGCGGGAUUCCCCAACAAGGACACGACGCGGAGCCUUCCGCCGACGAGCGCGGAGCGGAGUCCUCCGUCGGCAGCGCGGGGGACUCCACCGACGAGGACAUAGCACGGAGCCCGCCGUCGACGAGCGCAAGGAGGAGGCGCCGGUCGGAAGGCCGGGGAUUCCGCCACCGACAAUCACGGAGGCCACAGGAAACAAGCGCGAGGUGUUCGUCGCUGGCAAGGGGGCGCCGCCGCCGACGAGGAUGUGUCCAUUCUUAGUGCAGGGGAGGCGCCUGCCGAGCAUGCCAAGGACGGCUGCGUCGAUGAGUACGUAGGAGCGAGCACACAACCAUAAUCUGGUUUUUGUUGGGUUUUAUCCAGUGAUUUUGGUGAACAUCCUAGUUUCAUGUGUCGCCAUUUUUUUUUUGGAGGACAAGAAAUUCAUCACACCCUCAACUAUUUGAAGUCUGCCGAUUAGCAAGCAACCUCACUAUUUUUGCAAAAAGAAUCUGGUAGCUAGGCGGUGGAAAUUUGCAGAAAUAAGAAUCUGGUAGCUAAGCGGUGGAAAUUUGGCAGUUAGGAAAUAAGAACCUGUCAGCUAAGCACUGAAAAUUUUGGCAGAAUUUUUUGGCAAUUAGGCACACUGAGAAUUUUGCAAUUACUAGUAUAAUUUUGGCAAUUAGUUUAAAUUAACUUUUAGGCACUAUAAACUUGGCAGCUAAGUAAAAUUAACUUGGCGACUAGGCACUAAAUAACCAGUGGCAUUAUUACAUUGUAAAAAUAUGUUAACUACGUUUAUUUUUUCUGGCAGUCAAGUGCAAUUUAUUUGGCAAUUGUUCAUGUAUAAUCUGUGGCAGUGUAUUUUGUAGUUGUAGGCUUUCACGUUGGUUUGAACUUUGAAGUGGCGACCAAAUGUAAUGUGUCUGACAACUAUUCAUCUGUUUGCUGGCAAGUGUAUUAUUAAUUGAUUUGAUCAUUUUGAUCUUGUUAAAAAGUUUCGACCAUACAUAGCUAAUCUUGGUUAGUACUACCAGUGUGACUAUGCUAGGCUACUGCACCAUGUAGCCAUUUUCAAAGUUUUUCUGCCCAUAUGAGGACGGCAACAUGCAUGCAGUAUUUUUUCUACAUAGACGUGAGCUAGUGGGCGACAGCCUGUCAGAGCUAGUGGGCCGUGAUAGUUUAUCAGGAGGGUAGAGCAUGCCGCCGCACGGAUCAAGAUAUGUGCGGUGCCGCUAGGUAGUGCAGUCCAAUUUACAUUCCUCCCAUCGUUCAGUUACACCCUCCUCCUUAGAUCCGAAAAUUACGUUGUAAACAGCCCACACGGGCUGCAAACCAUCCUCCUGGCGAAGCAGACCUAGCCGCCGCAGUUCCUCGAGGAGCUCCGCCGGGAGUGCCACGUUUAUCAGAUCGGAAUCAGGCUGAGAAUGGGGUGAGAUCCGCACUAAACGCGCCCCAGCCUGCCAAGGAGAUCAUCUCACGGACCCGCACCAUUCUGAGAAUUAUCGGAACCCCUCACCACCACCGUUGCAGGAGAUCAGCACCUACGCGACGCGCCGUCCGCCCACACGUCGCCGCGAAGCGCCUCCCGCCACUACACAUCCCCCUGUCGCGAAGUGACUCGACCCAAGCCAAUCACAAAAAGAUUCAGGUAACUUUGUCCUGCUAUAGACAUUGAUUUAUUCAAAUUGAGUAUGUUGGAAAUGGGGAGGAACGGAACGUCUUGCAGAUGACGGACCUAAACCUGAUGGACAAGACGCUGGGAUGUGAGUUAAUGUAUGGAGAAGACAGCCAGUCCAUCGACCGCAUCCUGAUCGUGUGCAAGGACGCCUUGGCAUUCUUUGUUCACAAUCUCACUAGCCUGUGCACACUCAACAAGUUAAUACCAAGAUCAGCUUCACAUCCUUUUAGGCUUAGAGAACUAAUUCCGAGUUCAUUGGAUUUUUUCAUCACUAAGAGCUUAUUGCUGCUUUUAAUUUUGUUUCUGCAGUAUUAUAUAUUGGUACGAGAGGGUUAAGCAGAUGGAAUAAGGUUGUUGCAUUGCUGUAUUUUUUCUUCGGCUAUUUUGAUUUUAUUCCGUGCAUAUUUGCUCUCUCUGAUACUAAAGCUGGAUCAGUGGGAAAAUUAUGGAAAUUUUGAUCAUAUGCUUUUUAGUAGUGCUCUUGCUAAAUAACGAACAUUCUUCAAGGUUCUUGGCACUGUACUGAAUAUAAUUCUAUUUUAAGCUUCUUAGCAGACGUUUAUGCCAAUCCUAAUUCAAUGGACCAUUGUCCAAUCCUACAGCUGCAACUAAGUUUGAUCACUCCGUGAAGCUUACUCUUCAGAUGCAAUGGACCAUUGUUAAAGAGGUACUAAAUUUUAUGAUUCAAAAAUGUUAUUGACUUUUUUGUCUUAUUUGUUUGUGUCUUGGGAAGUUGGCAUACAAAGAUGUGACCAUUCGUUGCUUCGGGCGGCAUGAGUUGAGUUGCACUGCACAUGUGUAUUUCCUCUGAAAAAGUGCAGAUUAACCAAGGCCAGCAUAUUUUUAUUUUGGGCGAGUACUUCUAUGGUUGCCGACUGGUAUUGGUAGAUAGUAGCCAAAAACCCACAAUACAUUUAGUAAUUUUAUUAGAGCCACAACCAUCUAAUGCAUGGACUACUCAAGUGAUGCAGACAAUAGAGCCCAUACCAAAACCUGAACCGAGUAUAGGGGGGACUAAUAAAGACUGAUCAAAUAUGAGAAUUAGUUACCAUACAUGAACAUCAGUGGGUCAUAUUAGUCAGAGUAUUCGCGAAGUAGGCCCGAUAUAAGAGGACUUCGGUGAUGAAUGUUUGUCAAGAACAACAAUCAGUUCAUCUAAAAAAUCAGGCUGAGUACUUUGACAUUGUCAUGGUUAGGGUACGUUAGUUUCAACAAUCAGCCCUGUUGCUGUAUGAAAACCUAUAUUGCUUCACAUGGUACUGCACACAUUUGACAUUGUCAUGAUUUGGGACUCAUCUUUGGAUUAUUUGUUGAUUUUUUUGUGAAUAUUCUUUUGGUUAGUCUAAUUCCUUUUUUUGUAGAAAUAUGAUUUGUCAAUAAUUACCAAUUUUUAUUAACUAUGAAUCGUGCUUUGCACGUACACACUUUGCCCCAUAUUUGUUGUUUCACUCUAAAUAUUCCAAGAAUGUCAUCUAUGUUUGAAUGAAAUUGUGUAUGGUUCGACUUCAUUUUUUUUUUAGAUUUUGGAUGUCAUGAUUUUUUGUAUGGACGUCAUUCAUUGUUUUUUUCUUUAAGGGAGACAAAAACUUUGCCUCAUAUUAUUAAUUAAGAAGAGCAUUCCCGAAAGACCAGAGUGAUUUUCUUUGGGAUGCAUGAGCACGUCCUCCUCUUCUCAAUCAUAUUUUUCAGAUGCUUGUCGUGAUUUAUGAAGUAGGUAUUAGCGCCUCCAUCUCCCUCCAUGUGUACUUCAGUUGUGCUAAUUUGGAUUAUGCACGUCCUAUUUUUUUUUUCAGGCUGUGAUUCAUUUGCCCUUACUCCGGGUUCACAAGAAAUUCAUGUUUACUUAAUGAUUUAGAAGGAAAGUUGGGCGAAUGCUACAGUAAGAUACAUAUUAUGCUAAUUCAGUUUAGUUGUCUACUAACUUGCAGGGGUUCAAUUGGAUGCCCAUGUGAUGUCUUUGUUUAGUAGUUUUUGCUGUGUGUUUGGCUUAAUAUUUAUUGGUUAUUUUGCAUUCUUUAAUGUUUUUUUCUGUUGUAGGUUUCACAUGAUUUUUCUUAUUUGAACUUGAUAAUUUAUAUAUAGUACGUUUCUAUCAUUAAUCGUGAUCUUUAAAUAGCUUCUGUUUUAUAAACUUGUCACUGGCAUGCUAAUUUUUCUGCGGUUAGAUAUAUUUAUUAAGUGUUUACACUAUCUCUGUAAGCAAGUUGCUCACCAUCAUAUUUUGUGAGUAAUCACAUUGGAUACUGUGAAUUAUGCGGCUACACUUUAUUUCUACUCAGCUCUCCUGAUAAGAACUACUUUUCUUUUGCUUGUGUUGAGGUGAUAUCACAUAACACGUUUUCUAUGUUGGCACACAUUGCCUUAUAACAUAUAUAAACUGAGGCAGAUUGACAUACAUCCCCAAGCCAUAUUGUUAACAGUUUAUUAUUAUUCCUUAUUUUGUUUGCGACCAUUAUUGUCGUGGAUAAAAAUUUAUGUACUAAUUGUCUGAUUUUGAUAUAUUGCUGGUGAUCUGUUAUUUUCCAUUCAAUAUUGGCUAAAAGCACUAUAUGUUGUUCAGCGGUGUUGCAAGUUCGCGAAAAGAAGUGGGCAUUGGUGAGAAGAGAUAAUGGUAAUAUCAAGAUGAAUGGGAUUAUAUUUUGAUAGCUCAUGCGGGUGCUUGCUUGUUCUCGAGGCGCUGCAUCGAGCUGGAUACCAUGCGUCUUGGCAGAGCAGGGGGAAACAUAAAGAAGAAACUCACAACGAUGCUAGAAUUAUUGUCAUAAUUUGAUAGAACAUUUUUAGCUAAAUGUUAGAAAUAUUGUUGUCAGAUCUCUCAAUCAACGGUAGUGUUUUAGCAAUGUAUUCGGAACUAUCACAAGUGCUCGGUCUAAUAGUAGUCUGCCUAGAAACAGACAUAAGGAUGUUAUUUUUAUAGUCCAUGCAUUCAGUGUGCUCAGAGCUGACGGUCGUAACACAUGCUUAGAGCUGCUUUUUAAUGGAGUGAAAUUUGUAGCGAAUAGCUUGGCAGUGCAUGAUAUAUGCAGUUUUCUAGCAUUUCCAUAUGAAAAACUUGUUUAUCUGGGCUUUGGAUUAAGGAUAUGUAGUUAGUGACUAUAAAUUUUUUUUUGGUAUUGGGGAAGAUCUAUGAUGUUUCAAGAUAGCCGUUACUAAUUUACCAUUGCUAAUUUGUAUGGCUAAUUUCAUAUUAGUCCAGACGUGCAUUGCACGUGCAAGCUUACUAGUCUUUAAAAAGGUUCUGCGCCUUUUCUUGAUUAUAGAGAUGAUCUUUUAACAACAAUAACACCACAUAUUUAGAGAAGUUCGGCCACUAGCCCACCAGAGAUAAGACAAUAUCCAUUAUACAUCAUAUUGUACAUGUCCUUAAAGUUUUAGCUUAAUUACCAUGAAAAUAAGAAACCAUUGAUUCGCCGUUAUUGAUAUCCGGCGCCAUUGAUUGGUCCUCAUUUGAAGAAAAAUAUUGUGUAGCUAUUUUUAUCAUGACUAGUUGCGUGCCCGUGCGUUGCCACGGGAAAAUAUGACAUGGAGAGGGGUGAUUUUUAUUUGAUUGGUGCCACGAGCACGACGACUAAUACCUCACGCUAUAAUGGCAUUUUUAUUCCUCUUCCUAAUCCUUCCAAGGACCAAAAACAUGUGUUCUUUUUGUCCUUUUUACACUUUUCACACUGUGAUGUGUCUCAUUCUAUAGUGCGCAACCUAGUGAUUUCCCACCAUGUUAGCCAUCAUUGCACAUGACAAUUAGCAAAACUUUCAUUUUGUAAGCACACCAAUAAUAAUUAUGGAUUUGUUUAUCGUGAAUCAAUUCCGAAAGUGCAACAAUCUUCAACAGGAACAUAAAAUGCAAAGCAAUGAGAAAAAAAUAUAGAGUACCACUGUUCUCUCUACACUGACAACAUUUUUUAAUAAGAAAGUAUUACAUCCGUUCCAUAAUAUAGGACAUUUUGCAAACUAUAAGAGGUACCAAAACAUCUUACAUUAAGGAACAGAGGUAAUAUUCGAUAAGAGGUGUAUACAAAACUACAUAUUGACAAUUUCCUCUACAUAUUGACAAUUUCCUGAAAUGCAUACAACAAUUUACACCGCUUCUAAUUUUCAGCUAGAUGAAAAUACAAUUCGGUCUAAGUCAGAUCCUUGUCCGUUCAUUUUGUUUCUUUUCACCAAUCUUGGCGCACGUUUCUCUUUUCUGGAUUGUGUCCCGCGUCUGCUCAUUUGUACUCCACGUGUCUGGUUCAGUCCAAAUUUUUUUAGCUGGUUCGGUUUUCUAGCGGCGUUUUAUGGCUUUUUUUUAAAAAAAAAAUCGGGGUCCGUGCCCUUUUUAUCCUGAGGCAUCUCUCACUUUCCUCAUUUUCUUACCCUUCGUUUUCUCUCACUGGGAGAGAGGAG